rnacentral:rRNA from 1 species
UACGUAGGGUGCGAGCGUUAAUCGGAAUUACUGGGCGUAAAGCGUGCGCAGGCGGUGAUGUAAGACAGAUGUGAAAUCCCCGGGCUCAACCUGGGAACUGCAUUUGUGACUGCAUCGCUGGAGUGCGGCAGAGGGGGAUGGAAUUCCGCGUGUAGCAGUGAAAUGCGUAGAUAUGCGGAGGAACACCGAUGGCGAAGGCAGGUCUCUGGGCCAAUACUGACGCUCAUGCACGAAAGCGUGGGGAGCAAACAGG